GGGCUGGUAGCUCAGCCGGUAGAGCAGGCGACUCAUAAUCGCUUGGUCAGGGGUUCAAGUCCCUUCCGGCCCACCA
rnacentral:tRNA from 1 species